rnacentral:rRNA from 1 species
CUUUCCGUAGGGGAACUUGCGGAAAGGAUCAUUCGGCUCUUCAAAAACUUUCCCGUGAACCGUAUCAACCCUUUUAGUUGGGGGUGUUGCUUGGCAUUUUGCUGAGCCGCGCCCUAUCAUGGCGAAUGUUUGGACUUCGGUCUGGGCUAGUAGCUUUUUGUUUUAAACCCUUUAACAAUACUGAUUAUACUGUGGGGACGAAAGUCUCUGCUUUUAACUAGAUAGCAACUUUCAGCAGUGGAUGUCUAGGCUCGCACAUCGAUGAAGAACGCUGCGAACUGCGAUACGUAAUGCGAAUUGCAGGAUUCAGUGAGUCAUCGAAAUUUUGAACGCAUAUUGCACUUCCGGGUUAGUCCUGGGAGUAUGCCUGUAUCAGUGUCCGUACAUCAAACUUGGCUUUCUUCCUUCCGUGUAGUCGGUGGAAGAUGUGCCAUAUGUGAAGUGUCUUGCGGUUUGUGUGCCUUCGGGCCGAGGCUGCGAGUCCUUUGAAAUGUACUGAACUGUACUUCUCUUUGCUCGAAAAGCGUGGUGAUGCUGGUUGUGGAGGCUGCCUGCGUGGCCACUCGGCGAUCGGUUUGUCUGCUGCGGCGUUUAAUGGACGAGUGUUCGAUUCGCGGUAUGGUUGGCUUCCGCUGAGCAGACACUUAUUGUAUGCUUUUCCUGCUGUGGCGUGAUGGGCUGGUGAAACUGUAUCUGUGUGUGGCUUGACUUGCGAAUCGGCCUUUGCUGUUGCCAAAUAAAUUGGCGGCUUCGGCUGUCGAGUGUCGAUCCAUUUUGGGAACUUUUGUGUGCGCUGUCGAGUGUGCAUCCCAGUUGACCUUGAUAUCGGGGCAGGAAUUACCCCGCUGCACCUGUAGCACUAUCAGAAAACGGAGGAUGCGCCCUAGACUUUCAGGUGGAACGUAUCACCCUUUAUUGGGGGGUGUUGCUUGGCAUUUUUGCUGAGCCCGCCCUAUCAUGGGGAAAGUUUGGGACCUCGGUCUGGACAAUACCUUUUGUGUUUUACCCUUUAACAAUACUAGAUUAUCAGGGGGAGGACGAAGGUCUCCUCUUUUUUACAUGGAGACCUUUCAACGAUGGGAUGCACACGCGCCCUCGAAAAACCCCGCGUCGUGCAUCAGUGGCAGUGCCAGGCUCAGAGCUCCAAUUGAACCGCAUCGCCUGUGAUACGCUGUUGAAUGCGCGUGAUACUGGCGCUCAUCAUC